CCGGCGGCGGCGUCGUUUUGAUGCUGGCAAAACUUUCAGCGCUGGGGUAAGAACGUUCUGACUACGGCGGCCGUUAGGGGCAAAGGGUCAGUUUUAGUUGUGAUCCUGUUGGAAUAUUCCAUUAUUAAUGACAUUUGUCGACAGAGAUGGCAUCCCCAGAUUCAAAUCACCCUGAUAUGACCUUUGUAGACCCACAUGGAACUCAUCGAACUAUA
rnacentral:lncRNA from 1 species